rnacentral:lncRNA from 1 species
GAGGGUAUAGGAGACCUUCCGGAUAGCAUUUGAAUUGUAAAUGAAGAAAAUAUCUAAUUUUUAAAAAUUCUACUCAAAAAAAAAAGGAAAAAAAUUUCAAGUCCUCCUUGAGCACAUUAGCAAUCUGAGAAUGUAGUUCAAUGGUUGGGCAUUUACCUAGUACACUUAAAGUCCUAGAUCAACCCCCAUGUACUGAAAAAAAAAAAAAAGCAAGCUCAGUGAAUGAAUACAUGUAAGAUUCUACCUGAUCAAAAUAUUCUACCUGAUUAGAAAUGUUUAUUUUAUAAACAAUGUAUAACUAUGUGACAUGUAACAAAUUAUGGAAUACCCAUAGGGAAGUCCAGGUAGACCACAUGGAGCUGUUUUCUGCCACCAUUUGCUGAGGAAAGGAGGUCUCCUGCCAGCAGCACAGUGAAUGAAUUUGGAAGCAGAUCCUCCUCCGAACAAGAUGACUGGGCUCUGAGAUCUUGGCUGGAAGCACACAAGUUCAAUUAGGCCACUCCAUGACUUGACCCUUGGAGAUAAUAUCUAUUGAUUGUUUUUCUAAUCUCUCUUUCUUUUAAUUUUUCACAUUUAUCUAUCUGUGUAUUUGUGUGAGGAGAGAGUAAGGCGCAUGCCACAGUAUAUGGAAGUCAGCUAACAACUUGCUUUUCUCUUCUCACUAUAUGGAUCCUGAGGAGCAAGCUCAGGUCAUCAGGUUUAGCAACAGGUUCCUCUAUCAAUGGAAAAAAUCUUGCCAGCCCCCAAGUGAUUCUAUUAUAUUACUGUGCUUAGGGAUUGUGUGUUGAAUAGCUAUAGAGAGUGAGGUGCACAGACAGCUUGCUUUUGCACUCACCUGCAGAAGUCCCCUUUCCCCCUAGCAAGUCUUCGUGUUGCCCUCUUCCACAGCAAGCACGAUAUGGCUUGCUUCUGUGGUUUGCCUCUAUAUUGCCCCUCAGAAGUCCUCCUUCCCCUCCCCCCUUGCAGCAAACUUGGGGUUCAUUCUACCUCCCUAGCUGCUCCAAGAAGGCUGGCUCAUGGAGCAGGUAGUUCCAGCCUGAGUAAGACAAAUGACAAAAAGUCCUCAACUUCAGCUACAUGUGAUCUCCUAGAUAACCAGAUGCUGCUGGUGCCUAUCCUUGGAGAAAGGAGAUUAGGGUCCCACGCUUAAAUCAUAGAAAAGAGGUAAUCAGAGGUCACAGACAAUUAUGGCCGGCCAUAAAACUAGUUCCUGAUAGCCCCACAAAAGACACUCUUUAAUCCCCCUCCUAGCCAGGCAGUGGUGGCACAUGCCUUUAAUCCCAACAUUUGGGAGGCAGAGGCAGGCAGAUUUCUGAGUUCAAGGCCAGCCUGGUCUACAGAGUGAGUUCCAAGACAGCCAGGGCUACACAGAGAAACCCUGUCUAGGAAAAAAAAAUCCCCCUCCCAGCCUUGUCUCAAAGCUCCACUACCAAAUGAUAUUGUGUCUGAGUUAUGACCUAACCCACCUCCACACCCCUUCACCCUAAGCAUUCAAAUAAUUCCUAACUGCAGUGUAUAUAAGUGUUAAAGCACCUGAGCCAGAGGGUUUGUGAUCUGAGUCAGGACUCGAAGUAAAAAGACUCUUUUG